rnacentral:rRNA from 1 species
GAUGAACGCUGGCGGCGUGCCUAAUACAUGCAAGUCGAGCGAACGGACGAGAAGCUUGCUUCUCUGACGUUAGCGGCGGACGGGUGAGUAACACGUGGAUAACCUACCUAUAAGACUGGGAUAACUUCGGGAAACCGGAGCUAAUACCGGAUAAUAUUUUGAACCGCAUGGUUCAAAAGUGAAAGACGGUUUUGCUGUCACUUAUAGAUGGAUCCGCGCUGCAUUAGCUAGUCGGUAAGGUAACGGCUUACCAAGGCAACGAUGCAUAGCCGACCUGAGAGGGUGAUCGGCCACACUGGAACUGAGACACGGUCCAGACUCCUACGGGAGGCAGCAGUAGGGAAUCUUCCGCAAUGGGCGAAAGCCUGACGGAGCAACGCCGCGUGAGUGAUGAAGGUCUUCGGAUCGUAAAACUCUGUUAUUAGGGAAGAACAAAUGUGUAAGUAACUAUGCACGUCUUGACGGUACCUAAUCAGAAAGCCACGGCUAACUACGUG